rnacentral:rRNA from 1 species
CCUACGGGAUGCUGCAGUGAGGAAUAUUGGUCAAUGGACGAGACUCUGAACCAGCCACGUAGCGUGAAGGAUGACUGCUCUCUGGGUUGUAAACUUCUUUUAUAAAGGAAUAAAACGCGGUACGUGUGCCUUAUUCCCUGUACUUCUUCAAUCAAGAUCGCCCAAUUCUGUGUCAGCAGCAGCGGUAAUACGUAGGUUCCGAGCGUUAUCCGGAUUUCGUGGGUUUAAAGGGAGCGUAGAUGGGUGAUUAAGUCAGUCGUGAAAGUUUGGGGCUCAACCGUGAAAUUGCAAUUGAUACUGGCGGUCUUGAGUACAGGUGAGGUAGGCGGAAUUCGUGGUGUAGCGGUGAAAUGCGUAGAUAUCACGAAGAACCCCGAUUGCGAAGGCAGCUUACUAAACUGUGACUGACAUUGAUGCUCGAAAGUGUGGGGAGCAAACAGGAUUAGAUACCCGAGUAGUC